AUGCGGCGGUGCCGGGGCAGCCACUCCUGUGUGCCCUCCCUCAGCACUGCCUGCGGGUGGCGAGGCUCUGGGGACCCAGUGCUGCACGGGGGGACUUCGAGCCGUGAGUCCUGGGGACACAGUCCCGUGCUUGUCAAGCAGCGUGGUACCCGCUGUGCCCAGGAGAACGGGCCGUCCGUGACCCUAGGAGCAGAAAUCACCAAAAUGGAAACUCUGCCGGGUCCUUCUUUGAAAGGGCGAGCAUGCAGCCCAUGCGUCGUUCUCUUCCACCGGCUGAGAGGCACCAAACGCGGACCUUCCCCUGCCAGUGGCCCUGCCCUUUGUCCCCAUCAGCAGUCCCAUCUGGCAGCGCCUCGUGUUUAUUUCAACUUCAUAAUUAAAGAAGAAUGUUAAGUGUGCGAGUGGAUUCUAUUCCAAGUGUUGGAAGGAUCUGGAACAAUGUAGCCUCUUGGGAAAAGCAUAGAGAAGAAAAAAACCACAUUUUCAAAUAAGAAAUUUGGAAAUAACAGGACAUCUUAGUUUGGAACACAUGCAACUUUCCUAGACUGUCUUUACUUUUUCUCUUUUUCUGAAACAAAAAGCCUUCAAAAAUCAACAAAAAGAGGUCAAUUGUAGUAACAAUUUCAGAAUAUCCAAUAGAAACCAAACAAAGGAAAACAUUUGGAGGUGAUGGACAGGAAGAGGUGAUCGUUUGUACCAGAAUCUUUUUAAAAAAGUGACUAAUGAAUAAUAAAUAUAAACAUACCCACAGGGCUCCUUCCAGCCACUUGUGUC
rnacentral:lncRNA from 1 species